CAGGGAAUAUUAGUAAUGGGCGAAGGCCUGAACUAGCAACGCCGCGUGUGCGAAGAAGGCCUUCGGGUUGUAAAGCACUUUUUGAGAGGAUGAGGAAGGACGGUACUCUCAGAAUAAGUCUCGGCUAACUACGUGCCAGCAGCCGCGGUAACACGUAGGAGGCGAACGUUAUCCGGAUUUACUGGGCGUAAAGCGCGUGUAGGUGGUUUGGUAAGUAGGGCGUGAAAGCUCCUGGCUCAACUGGGAGAGGCCGUUCUAAACUGCCGAACUAGAGGAUGGUAGAGGGAGGUGGAAUUCCGGGUGUAGCGGUGGAAUGCGCAGAUAUCCGGAGGAACACCAGUGGCGAAAGCGGCCUCCUGGACCAUUCCUGACACUCAGACGCGAAAGCUAGGGUAGCAAACGGG
rnacentral:rRNA from 1 species